rnacentral:rRNA from 1 species
UACGUAGGGACCGAGCGUUGUCCGGAAUCAUUGGGCGUAAAGAGCGUGUAGGCGGCCAGGUAGGUCUGCUGUGAAAACUCGAGGCUCAACCUCGAGACGUCGGCGGAAACCAUCUGGCUAGAGUCCGGAAGAGGAGAGUGGAAUUCCUGGUGUAGCGGUGAAAUGCGCAGAUAUCAGGAAGAACACCCGUGGCAAAGGCGGCUCUCUGGGACGGUACUGACGCUGAGACGCGAAAGCGUGGGGAGCGAACAGG